UCGUGCUAGUCGGGGAGGUUGCGGCACCCUGUAGCUUGCAAUCCGCAAUAGCAAGGCUGAAGCCUUAUACCUAGGCUCCUUCUCUUUGAAGUCUGCCCCGUGUAAGUAGCGUUGACGGUCAAGUCCUGCGCAAUGGACCCUCGCGAACUGUGUCAGGUUCGGAAGAAAGCAGCACUAAGCGUGGAAGUUCAUGUGCCGCAGGGGUGCUUGACCUGAGCCAACUGCCCGGGUAACGUUUGGGGGGAAAUGUCGAAGUAGGGCGCACGA
rnacentral:SRP_RNA from 1 species